AGGACUGCCUGCUGUCCUCCUGUGACAAUCUGGUGUACACCUGAUGGUCACUUCUCUGUCGUCUCUAGAGGGGUGAAUGUGCCACCACUAACCUGGAGUUGUUGCAUCUAACCAGGAGGCAUGGUUUACUUUCACUGUAGUGCAUCAGCCUGUGUCACAGACGCUAUGAAAUCCUGCAUACCUCACCGACCUCCUGAGAGAUAAACAUGCUGCAUAAUGGAAGAGCAUAAGCAGAGCAAGCUGAGUCACUUUUCUGUUACAAGUCUUCAAAGAGAAGCUGUGGUUAAAGGCGAGGCUGCUGACUGCCUUUGCCACAAGGGCACAUUGCUGGCUCGUCAUCAGCUGCUUGUUUGACAGGACUCUGAGAGCCUCUUCUGCAGAGCUGCUUUCCCACCAGUCGGACCCCAGCAUGUACUGGUGCAUGAGGUUAUGUCUCCCCUGGAUGCAGGACUCUGUGUUUCCCUUUGGGCUUCUUGAGAUUCCUGUCGUCUCAAUUCUUUAGCCUGGCAAAGCCCCUCUGAAUGGCAGCACAACCUUCUGGUGCAUCAGCCACUCCUCCCAGUUUUGUAUCUUCUGCAAAUUUGCUGAGAAUGCACUCUGCCCCAUUGUCCAGGUCAUUAAUGAAGAUGUUAAAUAGUAUUGGACUGCCUGGGGUACACCACUAGUGACCAACCUCCAGCCAGGCUUUGUGCCACUGAUCACAACCCCUUAAGCCCAGCACUUCAGUCAGAUUUCAGACUCACUUUCCACUUAUCUAGUCUGUAGUUCAUCAGUUUGCCAUUGAGAAUGUUAUGGAAGACAGUUUUGAAAGCCUUGCUAAAGCCAAGAUAAACAAUAUCUAUUGCCCUUCCAUCAUCUUCUAGUCAUUUCCUUGUAGAAGGGUAUAAGGUUGGUCAGGCAUGAUUUCUACUUCGUAAUCCAUGCUAGA